GAAAUGGUUUAAGGAUAAGGCAAAAUCUAACGGUCCAGGCUCGACUCCUCUUUGAGAGAUGUAAUGUUGAAAGGAAUUCAGCUUAAUGUCACGCAAUUGAGGGAGUUGAAUUUUCACGACAGAAUCGGACGAAUGGCAAACCUCUACGGAAAAAUGUCUCUCUGGUUUCUCUGUAGGGAUAUAAGCUCCGCGCAUACACCAGUUGGAAGUCCCUUUCCCUCCCGAUACCACAGUCAGAAGACUAAUACGGAGCCAAAUGAAUGAUUUUUCUCUUCAUCCUGCCCGACUUUUGCCUCAAUGCCGCUCUCGAAUUCCCGUGGACUCACACUGCCAUCUGCUGCUCCUGGGUCGACGCUGAGGGAAUCUUUCCUUCUUCUAGACCUUCUCCAUCACCUUUCCUUGGAAUGCUAAGGAAUUCCCUCCUAUGAAAACAUCUAGUAGUCAAUUCUGAGGACACUACACAGGAGAACAUGAAGAGUUUUGUUUACUAUAGUUCACCAGUUAUGAGGGUAAAGCCUGGGAACCAAACAUUAUGUGCUAAUUGAAUUGUGUAUGGAAAUUAAUUCUUUCGCGGCUUAAUAAAAAGGAAUCCAUUAACAGCCACCAUUCCUAGGUUAAUCAUCCCCGUUACCAAAAAUGAAAAACUGAAUUAGAACAUCGAAUUUACUAUUCUAAACCAAAAUAUCGCAAGACUAAAUACGGGCUACGACCCCGUUCUGUGUUCCAGCAAGACUAAAUAUUCAGCUCAGUGAUUUCCACUCAUUCUGGA